UGAUCGAUGAUUUUUCCAAGUCAAUCUUUCCUUGGAAAAGCUUAACAAAAUGAAUGAAAAACUCCCUACCAUCUCUCAUCGUGAUUGAGGUCC
ensembl:snoRNA SNORD116 Small nucleolar RNA SNORD116